rnacentral:sRNA from 1 species
GGUUCGGCUCUGAGCGGCUGGGCGACCGGCGCGUCGUGCGGCGCUGCGGCGGAGCCUCCUUAAGGAAGGUGCAAGAGGUUGGCAGCUUCGAUUGAAGCACAUCGACCGGCGACAGCAGCCAGGAGUCAUGAGCGACAGCGGCGAGCAGAACUACGGCGAGCGGGAAUCCCGUUCUGCUUCCAGAAGUGGAAGUGCUCACGGAUCGGGGAAAUCUGCAAGGCAUACCCCUGCAAGGUCUCGCUCCAAGGAAGAUUCCAGGCGUUCCAGAUCAAAGUCCAGGUCCCGAUCUGAAUCUAGGUCUAGAUCCAGAAGAAGCUCCCGAAGGCAUUAUACCCGGUCACGGUCUCGCUCCCGCUCCCAUAGACGAUCACGUAGCAGGUCUUACAGUCGAGAUUAUCGUAGACGGCACAGCCACAGCCAUUCUCCCAUGUCUACUCGCAGGCGUCAUGUUGGGAAUCGGGUAAGAUGAAAAACUGGUUUUGAAGCAGUGAACUGCCUAAAUUUACUUAAAGUUAGAGCUGAUUUUGACAAUAGAGCUUUAGCAGUGGGUGCGUGAGUGAAAUCUUCAGAGGCUUUUUUAGUGUUUUGAGAGAGUCUUUUAAGUUAAUCUUCCAUGACGGGGUCUGCAUUUGGGCUACCUGUCAUUUAAGCAGAAUACUGACACAAUGGUGUGACUCCUUAGCCCAUCAAAAACUUCUGACUGUGCAUUACUAUACUGUACUAUAGUAUUAGUACAUUAGUUCAAAAUACAGUUCUGUGCUAACGUUAACUCUUUCCAGGCUGCAUAAACCUAGUUAGAUGCUCUCCUGACUUUCCCAUUUAAUUUGAA